rnacentral:lncRNA from 1 species
AAAUGUUAACAGAUGCCAGAUAUGUUUAGAUAAAAACGGAUGGGGCCAGAUAGGUUCACAUAAAAACGGAUGGAGCAAAUAGCCUGCUUACUGAGGAAGGGAUGUAAAUGGAAAAGAAAAAUCAGCACAAAUAAAUUAAGAAGACAACAUCUUAGAAUGCCAUGUUAUUAUCAUAGAACCAUCUGCAUCAUAGCCAACAUCAUCUUCGGAUCAAGCAACUGACUGCAACAUUACUAACACAGAACCCACUUAAGAUAGUUUUGUUACAAUCACAUUUGGUGAACCACAGCACAUAUAGGCAGAAGAUUUAUCAUUUCCCAAGUAACAGACUCAUUUCUUCCCACUUUUCUUCAGGCCAGAGCCACCAAUCGCACCCUUCUGUGCCUUGGCCUUCAGUUCCUUCAGCGCCUGUCCAUGCAACAUAGACAAACCUUCUGUGAGCAAAUAAGGAUCCCAACUGAAGAAACAAGCACCAUUUAGAAUUGAAUCUCACCUUUUCCUCAUCUUUCUUCUUCUGCAGAUACGCAAGAUCAGACUGCAAAGAUUGAUGGUAUCAGAAUGAUGUCAAGUGGAGACACAUUAUAACUGAUCACUGAAUCAGCUCAGGCAUCCUUUUCUAUUGCUACAUUCACUAGUUCUCCAAAUCAAAAGAGAUUUGGAUUUUUAUAGCAGUCACAAUAUCAUAUUC